rnacentral:rRNA from 1 species
CUUUUCUCGGUGGCGACCGGCGCACGGGUGCGGAACGCGUAUGGAACCUGCCCCUGUCAGGGGAAUAGCCCAGGGAAACUUGGAUUAAUGCCCCAUGGUACCGCGAUAUCGCAUGAUAUUGCGGUUAAAGAUUUAUCGGACAGGGAUGGCCAUGCGUACCAUUAGUUAGUUGGUGGGGUAACGGCCCACCAAGGCAGCGAUGGUUAGGGGCCCUGAGAGGGGGAUCCCCCACACUGGUACUGAGACACGGACCAGACUCCUACGGGAGGCAGCAGUGAGGAAUAUUGGACAAUGGGCGGGAGCCUGAUCCAGCCAUGCCGCGUGCAGGAUGACGGCCCUAUGGGUUGUAAACUGCUUUUAUACGGGAAGAAAUGCGCCCACGUGUGGGCGUCUGACGGUACCGUAAGAAUAAGGACCGGCUAACUCCGUGCCAGCAGCCGCGGUAAUACGGAGGGUCCGAGCGUUAUCCGGAAUCAUUGGGUUUAAAGGGUCCGUAGGCGGGCCUGUAAGUCAGGGGUGAAAGUUUGUGGCUCAACCAUAAAAUUGCCUUUGAUACUGCAGGUCUUGAGUCAUGGUGGGGUCGCCGGAACAUGUGGUGUA